GCAACGAAUCAAAACUUUCAACAACGGAUCUCUUGGUUCUGGCAUCGAUGAAGAACGCAGCGAAAUGCGAUAAGUAGUGUGAAUUGCAGAAUUCAGUGAAUCAUCGAAUCUUUGAACGCACAUUGCGCCCCUUGGUAUCCCGAGGGGCAUGCCUGUUCGAGCGUCAUUUCACCACUCAAGCCUGGCUUGGUGUUGGGCGACGUCCCCUCCGGGGACGCGCCUCGAAACGCUCGGCGGCGUGGCACCGGCUUUAAGCGUAGCAGAAUCUUUCGCUUCGAAAGUCGGGGCCCCGUUUGCCGGAAGACCUACUUGCAAGGUUGACCUCGGAUCAGGCAGGGAUACCCGCUGAACUUAA
rnacentral:sRNA from 1 species